rnacentral:lncRNA from 10 species
CUUUGCAAGAACCUGGCCCCUAGGGAAGCGCCCCGCCCCCACCCAUCCCCCUACCCCAGCCCAAACUGGGGGAGGAUGGUCCAGCCCAGAUCUCACAUGUCUUAAAGGGUAAAAUAGUCUGAGCUGACUCCGACUUUGGCUCACCGCUCUGCGGCCGGACGAUUGUAUGCCAUUCAAAAAGUCGGGAGUUGAAAGACAGCACGCAGCACCUUUGUCCCCCUCCCCGUUUUCCCGGCGCGCUGAAAAGAAAUGGGGCUGGGACUUAGGGGCGGGGGAGGGCUUCCAACUCGGUUUCUCUAUAUCCUCCACCACCUUAGAGCCCACCCUCCCCAAUGAGCGUUUUGUUCUACCCAGCCACGUGUUUGUCGGAUUUUUGUUUUUGUGAUUUUUUUUUCCCAUGGAACAACAAGAAUUAAAGUACUAGGAGCUAUUUGUUGUUGAGUAGAAAGAGAAUAUUUUCUGUCCAAGAAGGUGGGAGACAUCUGUGUCUCACCCCCACACACACACCUCCGACCCUCCCCCCUUAUCUGACUCUUAAUACUUAGCUGUUGGUCACAAGCAUUAUUUUUAAACAAACCAAUGAGUAGGAAACAGGCAUGCCACAUAGUAGGCACUCAAUAAACAUUUUUUUAAAUGAAAAACAAGCUAAUACAAACAGCACAGCAAAGAGAAUUGAUGAAAAUUAGAGUCCAGGGGGGAAAAAAUUAUCUUGGCCAGAACGUGUGGCUCUGUUGCCCGGGAACUUUUCUUGGUGAUGUGUGUAGACUUUUGAAAGGGCUAAAAGAUGGUCUCAAAAAGGCUGUUGUAUUUCUUGGCCUUUUCCUAAAGAGGAGCCCCAAUCUCCUUAAAUCUUUUCUGUUAUAUUGGGGAACAAGGAGGAGGGCAACUAGGCAGAUCAUCCCAGUUCCCAGAAACUUUAAGUGCUGUUUCUUUCAUUUAAUUUGAAUCUUUAGGUGCUAAUAAAAGCACUUCUCAGAUUGUCUCCCUGGGGGACAUAUCCACUACUCUGCCUCUGUAUGCCUAAAACAAAAGCAAGUUACACCCCAUAAAAAUCUCCAUCCAGACCUCUAAACUCCUAUAAAAUGCAGUCCACUUUUUACUAUCCUAGAGUCAAUGGGAAACAACAUUUUUAAAAAUAAUCAGUGAAUUCAGUUCACUUUCAGGUUGAUUUUUUUCCAUGUAAAAAUAUACUAACUAAAUGUUAGCUGAAAUCAGUUUUAAUGUAUUUAAGAUAACGUUAGAAGAGAAUAUAUAAAUUUCACUUGAACAAUCUGCUAUUUUUAAAUCCUUUUAAAUAUUUAAUUAAAAAUUACCAAUAAUUGCUAAAUUGAAACUGAUUAGUUCUUUUUAAAAAAUCAGCUGUUUUACUGAAUUCUAAUCCUCUCCACCCCCCAAAAAAAGGCUUAUGUGUGUAUAGUCAGAAGCUGCAAAGGCUGCAAGAAUACAAGAGAGGAGACAACAGGGGUGAGAUACAGAUCUUUUUAGCCCCCAAAUCAGUUUUGCCUUAGUGACCUGGCUAUUUUAGGCUGGGGUUGGGGGAACUAAAUCACAUUGAUUGGUGUUUCAUCUCUCCCUUUUGAAUGAGCCCAGCACUCACAUUAAGGGUUAUUUCUUAUCUAGACUGACAUUCCUAGGUUAGGGAUAAAAAUGGGCAGACUUGAGGUACCAUAACUUUUCAUCUUUCUUUUCUUUGUUUUUGUUAACAUUAAAGAUUACUAUCAAAU